UAAGCCCGGGAAAGCCAACCUUGUCGCAGAUGCACUGAGUCGCAAGGUAGAGUUAGCGGCAACAAAUGUGCACCCUAGUCCUAGUUUGGUGGAGCGUCUAGUAGAGGGGCUUCAGCAUGAUCCGCAGGCCAAGUUGCUACUUGAAUUGAUUGGCCAAGGGAAGACCCGCAGAUUUUGGAGAGAUGAUCAUGGGUUGGUGCGGACCAGGAAAG
rnacentral:misc_RNA from 1 species